AGUGAACGCUGGCGGUAGGCCUAACACAUGCAAGUCGAACGGCAGCACAGUAAGAGCUUGCUCUUACGGGUUGCGAGUGGCGGACGGGUGAGGAAUACAUCGGAAUCUACUUUUUCGUGGGGGAUAACGUAGGGAAACUUACGCUAAUACCGCAUCCGACCUACGGGUGAAAGCAGUGGAUCUUCUGACCUUGCGCGAUUGAAUGAGCCGAUGUCGGAUUAGCUAGUUGGCGGGGUAAAUGCCCACCAAGGCGACGAUCCGUAGCUCGUCUGAGAGGCUGAUCAGCCACACUGGAACUGAGACACGGUCCAGACUCCUACGGGAGGCAGCAGUGGGGAAUAUUGGACAAUGGGCGCAAGCCUGAUCCAGCCAUACCGCGUGGGUGAAGAAGGCCUUCGGGUUGUAAAGCCCUUUUGUUGGGAAAGAAAAGCAGCAGGUUAAUACCCCGCUGUUCUGACGGUACCCAAAGAAUAAGCACCGGCUAACUUCGUG
rnacentral:rRNA from 1 species